rnacentral:lncRNA from 1 species
CAGCUUCAACUUCUACAGGUACGCAUCUUUUAUUAGACCUUACAAGAAAGAUGCAGCGACUUCUAUUAGACACAGACGGGAUAUAAAUAGGGGAGGGGGUUGAGUUACUCAGCGAAGAACCAAAAGCUCUAAAGGAAGAUGCACCAUAAGCUCUGAUCUUCAGCUUCCACUUCUUUUGGUGCAUCUUUUAUUAGACCUAUAACAAAGGUGGAUCGACUUCUAUUAGAUGCAACAUCUAGACGCAGCAACCACAUAUAAGAAAAAGGAAGAUAUAGUAGUUAGGAAGUGGAAGAUGAAUCAAUAGAGGAGGGACAAUUGAAAGAAAAAACGGUGAUGGUAAAAGUAAAGAUGGAGACAGCAAAAAUGGGGGAGCUAGAAAACUGUUCGAUGAAGAUGAUGAUUUACAGAGGCUGCUGUGCGGUGAAUGCCCUGGACAUCUUCAUCUUCAUUGAACUGUUCUAGCGCACCCAUAUUUGUUGUCUCCCUCGGUACUUCUACCAUCACAGUGUCCUCUCUUAAUUCUCCCUCCUCUAGUGAUUCAUCUUCCACUUCUCCCUCCUCUAGUGAUUCAUCUUCCACUUCCAUUUUAACUACUAUAUCUUUCUCUUUUUAUAGGGGAGGCGAGGAGGAGUGGCGCGAAGCCCUUUACGUACAUCCACCCUCUACGUACGUAUCUUAUGAGUUAUGAGGACUCUAAUGGCCUUCUGAAUUAGGGCAAGAUUAGUUAAUUGUUAGUGUGUUUUUCUGGGACGACAGGUGAUAGUGAGUUUUAUGUACUUUUGUACUCUGUAACCAAAAAAAGAAAAAGACUAUGGUUUGUAGGCAGAAGCUAAGCCUGUUUGGUAUCUUACCAAAAAAAUUUGGUUGUUCUUAAAAAUAAUUUUCAAAUAACAUCACUUAAAAACAGU